rnacentral:lncRNA from 1 species
GCUUAAUUUAAAAAGCACAAAGAGAUUCUGGAUUGAAAUGCCAAAACCUCAAAUGUUUUUAUAGUUGCUGAGCUAAAUAAUGUGAUUCUUGAGUUUACAGAUUUAAACUGUCACUGAAAGGUUAAAGUGUCUACUGUUUUAUGAAAUCAAACUUAACGCUGCCUCAGAAAUCCCGGUACUGAAAUGGUAACAUGGAAGUAAAGAGAUCAGUAUGAAAUAGUGGUGAGUCACAAUGAUUAAAAAAAAAAAGGUUGGUUUGCAGAAAGGCAUAAGAAGAAAAGGUUAUUGGAAUAGUUACUCAACAGCACAUUUACUCUCUCAAAAACAGUCUCAUAUGGGUUGGAUUUUUAAUAUCAGAUUAUAUAAUUUUGGUCUCUGGUCAAAAUUUUGUACCUUAUAAUACUUAGAGCCAGACUUAACGUUACGUGGCUUUGUCUAUUACAGAUACUUGGAAAUGCCAGCAAAUAUGUUGUUCUCUAAAGAGUAACUUUCUCUUAUUGAUUGAAAAAUACAGUUCUUAUAAACAAAACCCCUAUAUAAAUAGAUAUAUAUAUAAAUUAAUUUUAU